GACGUAGGUGGCAAACGUUAUCCGGAAUUACUGGGCGUAAAGGGUCCGUAGGCGGCUGCGCAAGUCGGACGUGAAAGCUCCUGGCUCAACUGGGAGAGGCCGUUCGAUACUGCGUAGCUCGAAUCUGGCAGAGGUCGGUGGAAUUCCUGGUGUAGUGGUGGAAUGCGUAGAGAUCAGGAGGAACGCCAAAAGCGCAAGCAGCCGGCUGGGUCAAGAUUGACGCUGAGGGACGAAAGCGUGGGGAGCGAACAGG
rnacentral:misc_RNA from 1 species